rnacentral:rRNA from 1 species
UACGUAGGGCGCAAGCGUUAUCCGGAAUUAUUGGGCGUAAAGAGCUCGUAGGCGGUUUGUCGCGUCUGCCGUGAAAGUCCGGGGCUCAACUCCGGAUCUGCGGUGGGUACGGGCAGACUAGAGUGAUGUAGGGGAGACUGGAAUUCCUGGUGUAGCGGUGAAAUGCGCAGAUAUCAGGAGGAACACCGGUGGCGAAGGCGAGUCUCUGGACAACACCUGACACUGAGGCACGAAAGCUAGGGGAGCAAACAGG